rnacentral:rRNA from 1 species
CAUGCAAGUCGAACGAAGCUUGACGGAUGAUUUCUUCGGAAUGAAACCAGAUAUGACUUAGUGGCGGACGGGUGAGUAACACGUGAGCAACCUGCCUUUCAGAGGGGGAUAACGGCUGGAAACGGUCGCUAAUACCGCAUGAUGUGUUCGGAUGGCAUCAUCUGAACAUCAAAGAUUUAUCGCUGAAAGAUGGGCUCGCGUCUGAUUAGAUAGUUGGUGGGGUAACGGCCUACCAAGUCUACGAUCAGUAGCCGGACUGAGAGGUUGAACGGCCACAUUGGGACUGAGAUACGGCCCAGACUCCUACGGGAGGCAGCAGUGGGGAAUAUUGCACAAUGGGGGAAACCCUGAUGCAGCAACGCCGCGUGAAGGAUGACGGUUUUCGGAUUGUAAACUUCUUUUCUUAGUGACGAAGACAGUGACGGUAGCUAAGGAAUAAGCAUCGGCUAACUACGUGCCAGCAGCCGCGGUAAUACGUAGGAUGCAAGCGUUAUCCGGAUUUACUGGGUGUAAAGGGAGCGCAGGCGGGACUGCAAGUUGGAUGUGAAAUACCGUGGCUUAACCACGGAACUGCAUCCAAAACUGUAGUUCUUGAGUGAAGUAGAGGCAAGCGGAAUUCCGAGUGUAGCGGUGAAAUGCGUAGAUAUUCGGAGGAACACCAGUGGCGAAGGCGGCUUGCUGGGCUUUAACUGACGCUGAGGCUCGAAAGUGUGGGGAGCAAACAGGAUUAGAUACCCUGGUAGUCCACACUGUAAACGAUGAUAGCUAGGUGUGGGGGGUCUGACCCCUUCCGUGCCGGAGUUAACGCAAUAAGCUAUCCACCUGGGGAGUACGACCGCAAGGUUGAAACUCAAAGGAAUUGACGGGGGCCCGCACAAGCAGUGGAUUAUGUGGUUUAAUU